UUUUUUCCGUUGUGUGCAGAGCAAUAAACCACUGUGCAAUUAAUCGUGCAGUUAUUAGAUUAUUUGCGAGUUCUGUAUUGUGGUUACAGACAAGUAACAACUCCUAGAAAUAGAAAUUCAAACAAAAGUUUACUAUUCAGGUAGAUUAGAUUCAGUAGCUUUAUUUGUAAGUCAUUAAACAAUUCAAGCUAAUAGCUACUUAAGUAGGUAAUUACUAGGUACUUAAUCAUGCACAAACAUUUUAUAAUUUUAUUGAAGAGGGCACUUGCUUUUUUCUAUUUUUGGCCCUUCACCGAAGAUUUUGGUUCAGAUCGUAUCAACAUUCGCCAUAUUAGCGGCUGUCCUAUUAAAAUAAGGAGGUUUUGAUUUAUCGUUUUAUUCUAGGAUGGAGGCAACAAAUCUGGCCUUGUCUCCGCGGGAGACACUCAAGCCUCGCGACCAUAAGGUCAUGCAGCUUAACAGCAAACCAAACCAAGUGUCAACGGUGCUUCUAUACGGCGUCCCAAUAGUAUCGCUGGUGAUCGAAGGCGUGGAGCGACUCUGUUUGGCGCAAAUCUCGAACACGCUGCUCAAGCAGUUCUCGUAUAACGAGAUUCACAACCGACGGGUGGCGUUGGGGAUUACUUGCGUGCAGUGCACGCCGGUGCAGCUGGAGAUAUUAAGGCGAGCUGGCGCCAUGCCUGUCUCGUCGCGACGCUGUGGCAUGAUAACGAGGAGAGAAGCAGAGAGAUUAUGCAAGUCGUUCCUGGGCGACAACGCGCCACCACGGCUCCCAGACGACUUCGCCUUCGCCGUCCACCACGAGUGCGCCUGGGGCUGCCGGGGCGCCUUCUUACCUGCUAGGUACAAUUCAUCCCGCGCAAAAUGCAUCAAGUGCGCCUACUGUGGCCUGUUCUUCUCGCCCAACAAGUUCAUCUUCCACUCGCACCGCGUGGGCCCCGGCGACAAGUACGUGCAGCCCGACGCCGCCAACUUCAAUUCCUGGCGGCGGCACAUGAAGCUCAGCGGCUCCCCGCCCGACGAGGUCGUGCAUGCCUGGGAAGAUGUCAAGGCUAUGUUCAAUGGCGGGACUAGGAAGAGGAUGCUGUCGGCGGCUAGACGAGUGUCGAUCCGCAGGCCGGAAGCGGAGCCGGGAGAGGCGAAGAGAGCGGCAGCGAGUCCACCGGCACACGCACCAGUGCCAAGGCUGGCAGACUACGUGUGGGGAGCGCGGUUACCCCUGCCUUACGCUCUACCCUGGCUCAAGCCGACGCUGUGGUCGCCAGGAGCAUUGACAGCGUUAAGCAGCGUGGGGUCACUGGAGGAGCCGCGCGCGUUCCGUCCCGUGCGGCGCGAGUCACCCCCGUCACCCGGCAUGUCUUCAAGGUCACCGCUGUCACCAACCAGGUCACCACUAGCGUCGCCAGCGCGAGCCCGUUCCCCGCGCUCACCUCAUCGCUCCCCGCACCGCUCGCCGCACCGCUCACCGCACCGCUCACCGCACUGCUCACCGCACCAGUCACCGCGCAGCAGCGAACGCGACAGCGAUGAGAGCGUGGACAUCGAGACCACCGAGGAAGAUCAGCGAGAUGUGAGUUGCCCCUGGCCAUGCCGAGUGCGCGAGGAGUGGGGAGCCCUAGUCCCCAAGGUGGAACGCGAGGAAGAACCGGAACCCUGGCGGCUGCCGGACCUUCGGCCGCCAGCUCAUUACUUGCCCCCUCCAGGUACCAAGGGCUAGGCCAAGACACUUGCGUUGGUCACGAACUCACGAUCUUCUUAAGCUGCUAAUGCUAACACAUUACCGGGACGUGUCAAGGCCAUCGGAACUCUGGUGGCUGCCGGACCUUCGGCCGCCAGCACAUUACCUGCCCCCUCCAGAACGAGACGCGUGCGCAGCGUGUGUGGCGCCCCUUCCGCUGCUCCCGCCGGCGCCGGCGCCGCACUAGCGCCUCACCUGACCAUGAAGCAAUAUCAAAC
rnacentral:misc_RNA from 1 species